rnacentral:rRNA from 1 species
AUGGGCGACGAGGCCAAGUACCUGGAGACGGCGCGGGCGGACCGCUCCGUGUGGCUCAUGAAGUGCCCCCCCGUCGUCUCCCAGGCCUGGCAGGGCGCCUCCUCCUCCUCCGGCGAUGCUAACCCUAACCCGGUCGUCGCCAAGGUCGUGCUGUCCCUCGACCCCCUCAGCUCCGCCGAGCCCUCCCUCCAGUUCAAGAUGGAGAUGUCUCAAACUAGUGUAGCCAGCACUUGCAAUCUACCAAAGAGUUACUCCUUGAAUAUGUUCAAGGAUUUUGUACCCAUGUGUGUUUUCUCUGAGACUAAUCAAGGAAAACUCUCAUGCGAAGGAAAAGUCGAGCAUAAAUUCGACAUGGAACCUCACAAGGAUAACUUAUUAAACUACGCGAAGUUAUGCCGUGAAAGAACACAAAAGUCGAUGGUUAAAACUAGAAAAGUGCAGGUACUUGAUAAUGACCACGGAAUGAGCAUGAGGCCCAUGCCUGGCAUGGUUGGUCUGAUAUCUUCUAGUUCCAAGGAGAAGAGGAAGCCAACGCCAACCAAACCAUCCGAUGUCAAAAGGACACGUAGGGAUCGCCGGGAACUGGAAAACAUUAUCUUCAAGCUUUUCGAAAAGCAGCCUAACUGGGCACUGAAGGCUCUAGUGCAAGAGACUGACCAGCCAGAGCAAUUCCUCAAGGAGAUAUUGAACGACCUCUGUAUGUACAACAAACGAGGGCCAAACCAGGGCACGCACGAGCUCAAGCCCGAGUACAAGAAGUCGUCUGAGGACGCUGCCGGUGCCCCGUGA